AAAAGAGACAAAAAUAUCAUCCUCCAUAGAAUGCAUAAGUACCCACUUCAUCCACCAUUUCAGUAUUCCUCUCUUCAUCUGUUUGUUCAGUACAUAAGUUGAGGGGGAAUAAAUAAAAUAUAACCACACAAUCACGGCUAAAGGUUAAGCGUAUUCAACCAACAAUGGAUUGGUCCAAUUGAUAAGGGGCUUGGAUCCCUUAAGUGGGCAGGAGUCUGAUCCCUGACUCGUGUUUGCGAAAAAUAUCCGAUUUUCAGUGAAGAAUUCGCACCUUAUAUGUCCCACAUAUUACUCAACAGAGAUUAUUUAAUAUCAAACGGCGGUGAAAACUUCGUAGUGAUAGUAUUCAAUUCACAAUUGAAACUUAAAGCUUAAAAAACAAGGAAAUUCCUGGAGUUAAUUAACAAACAACUGUGAAACACAGUCAUGGUUUAGUUUGUAAAGCCAUCCCAUCUAUAAUAUUUAAAAGACUUUAAUAUGUAUCUCGUCCUUGCAAUUAGGGUCGUUUAAAAAUUGGUCAAUGUAAUGACUAAUCCUUGCAAAUUAGCCUUACAUUUGUUAAUCAUUUAAAAUUUCGUCCCACAUCCUCAUUAAUCACCGUCACGUCACUAAUUAGCUGACGUGGCGCUAUUAAUUGGUCAAAUGAUUGUUUGACUCAGAAAAAGUUGAUGCGAACGGACAAAAAUACCCCUGACUUCUCAGACAAUUGCGAAAGGACCAAUGAAAAAUGACCAAACUGCCCCUCUCUUCUUCUUCUCAAAAUCUUCUUCCCUUUGCUUCUCUUCUCUGCAACUGAUUGGAGGGAGUAUUAUUUACCCAGAAAUCAGUAAUUACUCUUUCUUUGCUAUGUUGUCCACUGCUCUCCUCUACUUGCCAUUCUCUCCCUUUCUCGCUCCUCCGCUUUCUCUUUUUAACUUCCUACCGGAGAAUCACUCGACCCGAUCCAUUUUCCACCAUUCAUUGUAUUCUCUCCGAACCAGAACCAGAAAAACAACAUGAAAGGUAGGUGCUUCAGAUCUGUGUUGGGAGGACGAAGAUAGAGAUGACGGUGGAUGGCGGCGGUGAUUCGUGUUACAAGAGAUGCCAGAAUCGGGUUGAGCUUGAUGAUACUUGAAAACGCCAUAACUCUGUUGACUGAGUUGCUUACAAAAUUAACAAGAGAUAACAACAAACGUCAGCAAAGAUCCACACACGAAGAACAAAAAUCCAAUGCUAUGUUCAAUUCCUUUGGUAAAUGUUUAUCUAUGCAUUCACAAACUUGGGUUUACUUUAGUUUCUUAUAAACUUCAAUUCUUUUACUUCUUCUACUAGCUAUAUGUAACUUAAUUUACUCACCUUUUUUUAGGUUUUGGCUCAUGAUUUUUAACACAAUAUUGCAACCAUGAAUAAUAAAUGGAUCUUUUAACAUGAUGUUCUCAUUUACGUCUUUGGGCGGAAACGAUGGCAAUGCCCCACCAAUAUUUAUCAUGAAUGGAGAUAAUUACCAUCAAAUGGGAAGUUUGCUGCCACAAGAUGGUUCUCAACUAAAGUUUACUCAGUUAUAUAUAUAUAUAUAUAUAUAUAUGACACCAACAAUGAAGUUGCAAAUAGGAUGUCGGUGGUCGGGUACAAUUGUUAAUCCUUUUUUUUGUUAUACCUAAUAAGCAAUCGUUAGAAUAUUUAUAUAAAUAUAUUAUGAUAUCUCUAAUUUUUUUUCAACGUUUUGUAUAGCACGAAUGACAUGCCUAAUUUGAAAUUGAGAAUUUUAGGCAAGCAGAGACGUGACGGAAGGAGGUACAAUAUUCCUACAGCAUCCGAAGUUGCUACUCUUAUAGUUGGUGAUUAUGAUGCUGCAGAUUAUGAAAGGGACAAAAUUAUCGAGCAGAAAAUAGGUAUCUUUAAACGUGUUUCAGUUCUAAAUACUGCUUAUCUUCCACUGCAAUACCCUUUACUGUUUCCAAGAGGAGAAGAUGGAUAUCGAGAUGACGUGUCUUUGAAAGAGAGAUACAACAAACCAUCAAACAAGAGAAAAGAAGUGUCGAUUAGAGAAUUCUUUUCUUUUAGAAUUCAACAAAGAGAAGUUGAGAGAUCAACUUUACUGUACUCUAAAAGGUUGCUUCAGCAAUUUUCAGUCAACGCAUAUAGUAUGAUAGAGUCUUCGCAGUUGCGAUAUGCCAAGACACAUCAGAAAGAGUUAAGAGUAGAUAUGUACAACUGUCUUGCUGAUGCAGUAUUCAGAGGAGAAACAAAUCCUUCAACAGCAUGAAGGAGGAUUAUAUUACCGUCAACUUUUACUGGUGGAGCACGUUAUAUGCUUCAAAACUAUCAAGAUGCUAUGGCAAUUUGUAGGUGGGCUGGAUAUCCAAAUUUGUUCAUCACAUUUACUUGCAAUCAAAAAUGGCCCGAGUUGCAAAGAGUUGUAACUGGUAUGGGACUCAAAUCCGAGGAUAUACCAGAUUUAGUCUGUCGAGUUUUUAAGAUUAAACUUGAUCAUAUGAUAAAGGAUAUAAUGUUAUCUACAAAUAAGUCUUUCAGAAUUUAAGAUAGGUAAUUUACACAUAUACAUAUUCGUAUAUAUUUUCUAUUUGUUUAUUGUUGU